UACGUAGGGCGCAAGCGUUGUCCGGAAUUAUUGGGCGUAAAGAGCUCGUAGGCGGCCUGUCGCGUCUGCUGUGAAAUCCCGGGGCUUAACCCCGGGCGUGCAGUGGAUACGGGCUGGCUGGAGGCAGGCAGGGGAGAACGGAAUUCCCGGUGUAGCGGUGAAAUGCGCAGAUAUCAGGAGGAACACCGGUGGCGAAGGCGGGUCUCUGGGCCGAUAUUGACGCUGAGGAGCGAAAGCGUGGGGAGCAAACAGG
rnacentral:rRNA from 1 species